GGAGAUAUAGCUUAGCAGCACAAGUGCCUGCCUGAAAAGCAUGAGGUUGUGAGUUCAAUCCUCAGUACCA
rnacentral:tRNA from 1 species